CUGCAUAUAUUUCUCAUUUAGCACCUUGAAUAUAUCAUGCCAGUCCUUUCUGGCUUGCCAGGUCCUUGUGGACAGGUCUGUUGCAAGCCUUAUGUUUAUAC